AUUGAACGCUGGCGGCAUGCCUUACACAUGCAAGUCGAACGGUAACAGGUCUUCGGAUGCUGACGAGUGGCGAACGGGUGAGUAAUACAGUCGGAACGUGCCCGAUCGUGGGGGAUAACGCAGCGAAAGCUGUGCUAAUACCGCAUACGAUCUACGGAUGAAAGCGGGGGAUCGCAAGACCUCGCGCGGACGGAGCGGCCGAUGGCAGAUUAGGUAGUUGGUGGGAUAAAAGCUUACCAAGCCGACGAUCUGUAGCUGGUCUGAGAGGACGACCAGCCACACUGGGACUGAGACACGGCCCAGACUCCUACGGGAGGCAGCAGGUGGGGAAUUUUGGACAAUGGGCGCAAGCCUGAUCCAGCCAUGCCGCGUGCAGGAUGAAGGCCUUCGGGUUAGUAAACUGCUUUUGUACGGAAACGAAAAAGCUCUCUCUAAUACAGGGGGUGAAUGACGGUACCGUAAGAAUAAGCACCGGCUAACUACGUG
rnacentral:rRNA from 1 species